GGGGUUGUAGCUCAGUGGUAGAGCACACGCCUUGCAUGCAUGAGGCACUGGGUUCCAUCCUCAGCACCACA
rnacentral:tRNA from 1 species